CAAUUAGUACCCUAAACCUGCCUCUCUUUAUCAAUGGAGCAUACCCAAGGGCUUUCACCCUAUGGCCACAUUACAAAUAACAAAGGACACUGAAAAAUCCCGAUUCCUAGCUCUCAAAAGUUUAGAUUUACAUCCAAAUUAACAGCCAACAAGAGAACUGACGAUUCUUUCACUCCCUGAGCCCUGGGUGUAAGACUACUGGAGAGUUUGGUUUGUAUGGCCCAGGUGGAACCCAUCUCAUUUCAUAGGAAGGUCAUAUAAGAAUAAUAAGAGCGACUACAUUGAGUGUGUAGGUAUGUAUAUAUACACACAUCUCUAA
rnacentral:lncRNA from 1 species